rnacentral:rRNA from 1 species
UACGUAGGGGGCAAGCGUUGUCCGGAAUCAUUGGGCGUAAAGCGCGUGUAGGCGGUUCGGUAAGUCUGCUGUGAAAGUCCAGGGCUCAACCCUGGGAUGCCGGUGGAUACUGUCGGGCUAGAGUGCGGAAGAGGCGAGUGGAAUUCCCGGUGUAGCGGUGAAAUGCGCAGAUAUCAGGAGGAACACCAAUGGCGAAGGCAGCUCGCUGGGACGUGACUGACGCUGAGACGCGAAAGCGUGGGGAGCAAACAGG